rnacentral:rRNA from 1 species
AACGAACGCUGGCGGCGUGGAUAAGACAUGCAAGUCGGACGCUGAUUAGGGGGUAGCAAUAUUCCCUAGUCGGAGUGGCGCAAGGGUGCGUAACACGUGGGUAAUCUGCCGUGAAGUUUGGGACAACUCGCUGAAAGGCGAGCUAAUACCGGAUGUGAAUGUCAGGAGGCAUCUUUUGGCAUUUGAAGCUGGGGACCGAAAGGCCUGGCGCUUCAUGAUGAGCCCGCGGCCUAUCAGCUAGUUGGUGAGGUAACGGCCCACCAAGGCGAAGACGGGUAGCUGGUCUGAGAGGACGACCAACCACACUGGAACUGAGACACGGUCCAGACACCUACGGGUGGCAG